rnacentral:snRNA from 1 species
AGCUUAGCGCAGUGGCGAUAUCGUAGCCAAAGAGGUAAAACCGAGGUGCGAUUAUAGCUAGUCGAAAAUAACUUAUUAAAUUCGUCAAAACAAAGCAUGUUAACAACUUGUCAAAGUUUGCUUAUA